rnacentral:rRNA from 1 species
CCUCAAAUCAGGUAGGACUACCCGCG